GCGGCCUCCAUAUCACCAUCUUCCCAGGGCAAUGUUGGCAAGUGCCGAGAUGCCCUGAUCUUAAGCAUCCCUUAUCUUUGACACCAAGUGACAGCAUUUUUCCUGGAUGAUGGCUCUGUCUCCUGUGGCCUCACAUUUUAAAAGGACAAAGAUGACAGCUAGAAGGACCUCCAGAGGAGAUUCUUGUCCUGUCAUUUUAUUGACAGACGCGCUAUUACAGGCUCUUUUCCCAGAAGUUGACCGAAGAAACCCAAGCGCUGCUAUUUCUUCCCUCCCAAGUCCGGUGGCUCCCCUGCUAAUGGACUGCUUUUCUCUGAGCUUCCACCCUGGAGAGAGCCCCCAGGUCUAGUCUGUGAACCCAGCU
rnacentral:lncRNA from 1 species